rnacentral:rRNA from 1 species
GACGAACGUUGGCGGCGUGCUUAACACAUGCAAGUCGAACGGAAAGGCCCUGCUUUUGUGGGGUGCUCGAGUGGCGAACGGGUGAGUAACACGUGAGUAACCUGCCCUUGACUUUGGGAUAACUUCAGGAAACUGGGGCUAAUACCGGAUAGGAGCUCCUGCUGCAUGGUGGGGGUUGGAAAGUUUCGGCGGUUGGGGAUGGACUCGCGGCUUAUCAGCUUGUUGGUGGGGUAGUGGCUUACCAAGGCUUUGACGGGUAGCCGGCCUGAGAGGGUGACCGGCCACAUUGGGACUGAGAUACGGCCCAGACUCCUACGGGAGGCAGCAGUGGGGAAUAUUGCACAAUGGGCGGAAGCCUGAUGCAGCAACGCCGCGUGCGGGAUGACGGCCUUCGGGUUGUAAACCGCUUUCACCUGUGACGAAGCGUGAGUGACGGUAAUGGGUAAAGAAGCACCGGCUAACUACGUGCCAGCAGCCGCGGUGAUACGUAGGGUGCGAGCGUUGUCCGGAUUUAUUGGGCGUAAAGGGCUCGUAGGUGGUUGAUCGCGUCGGAAGUGUAAUCUUGGGGCUUAACCCUGAGCGUGCUUUCGAUACGGGUUGACUUGAGGAAGGUAGGGGAGAAUGGAAUUCCUGGUGGAGCGGUGGAAUGCGCAGAUAUCAGGAGGAACACCAGUGGCGAAGGCGGUUCUCUGGGCCUUUCCUGACGCUGAGGAGCGAAAGCGUGGGGAGCGAACAGGCUUAGAUACCCUGGUAGUCCACGCUGUAAACGGUGGGUACUAGGUGUGGGGUCCAUUCCACGGGUUCCGUGCCGUAGCUAACGCUUUAAGUACCCCGCCUGGGGAGUACGGCCGCAAGGCUAAAACUCAAAGGAAUUGACGGGGCCCCGCACAAGCGGCGGAGCAUGCGGAUUAAUUCGAUGCAACGCGUAGAACCUUACCUGGGUUUGACAUGGAUCGGGAGUGCUCAGAGAUGGGUGUGCCUCUUUUGGGGUCGGUUCACAGGUGGUGCAUGCCUGUCGUCAGCUCGUGUCGUGAGAUGUUGGGUUAAGUCCCGCAACGAGCGCAACCCUUGUUCACUGUUGCCAGCACGUUAUGGUGGGGACUCAGUGGAGACCGCCGGGGUCAACUCGGAGGAAGGUGGGGAUGACGUCAAGUCAUCAUGCCCCUUAUGUCCAGGGCUUCACGCAUGCUACAAUGGCUGGUACAGAGAGUGGCGAGCCUGUGAGGGUGAGCGAAUCUCGGAAAGCCGGUCUCAGUUCGGAUUGGGGUCUGCAACUCGACCUCAUGAAGUCGGAGUCGCUAGUAAUCGCAGAUCAGCAACGCUGCGGUGAAUACGUUCCCGGGGCU